UACGAAGGGGGCUAGCGUUAAUCGGAAUUACUGGGGCGUAAAGCGUGCGCAGGCGGUCCGUUAAGACAGAUGUGAAAUCCCCGGGCUUAACCUGGGAACUGCAUUUGUGACUGGCGGACUCGAGUAUGGCAGAGGGGGGGUAGAAUUCCACGUGUAGCAGUGAAAUGCGUAGAGAUGUGGAGGAAUACCGAUGGCGAAGGCAGGCCCCCUGGGCCCAAUAC
rnacentral:rRNA from 1 species